rnacentral:misc_RNA from 1 species
GAUGAAGAACGUAGCGAAAUGCGAUAAGUAAUGUGAAUUGCAGAAUUCAGUGAAUCAUCGAAUCUUUGAACGCACCUUGCACCCUUUGGCAUUCCGAAGGGUAUGCUCGUUUGAGUGUCAUUGUACUCUCACUCUCCCGAUCUUUGGAUCGGGAGUGGUGGACUUGGGUGUUGCUGCUUUACCGUGGCUCACCUCAAAUGGAUUCGUGCAACUCCUGGUUGGACAUAGUACGGCGUGAUAAGUGUCUUCGCCGGCACCUCAGUAGAGGGUGGCUGAUCAGGAGCUCUGUGCUUCAAACCGUCCUCGGACAAAAACUGACAACUUGACCUCAAAUCGAGUAGGACUACCCGCUGAACUUAAGCAUAUCAAUAAGCGGAGGA